rnacentral:rRNA from 1 species
CUUGCAAACUAAAGAUGGCGACCGGCGCACGGGUGAGUAACACGUAUCCAACCUGCCGAUAACUCGGGGAUAGCCUUUCGAAAGAAAGAUUAAUAUCCGAUGGUAUAUUAAAACCGCAUGGUUUUACUAUUAAAGAAUUCGGUUAUCGAUGGGGAUGCGUUCCAUUAGUUUGUUGGCGGGGUAACGGCCCACCAAGACUACGAUGGAUAGGGGUUCUGAGAGGAAGGUCCCCCACAUUGGAACUGAGACACGGUCCAA